UGGUAUUGUAUAUAUAACAACAACAACAACAAAUAUUAUUAGUCUUCUUUUUCUUUUUUCUAUUCAAUUAGGGUUUCUUAUUUUUCAAUUUUUAUGAUUUAGGUAUGGAUUCAUGUUUGGAAGGGAAUCCUCUCGUAAAGAACUUUCUCAAUUGAUCGAAGAUCUACGUCGUGAUAACCCCACCCCUACCUCCAAUUCCCAUUCUUCAAGUUGAAACAUACCAUGAUUUUCUUCAUUCUCAAUAUAUUUAUAUGAAUCUGUUAUCUAAUUCCCGAGUCUGGAGUUGAAGUUUGAAUUUUUAAUGUAAGAUGACUUGUUAAUUACUGAGUACAAUCUUAUUCUACACUAGUCUAUAAUAUAUUUGUUCCGAACUCAAUUCCCCCUUUGUUUUGCUGACCAAUUUUGUAUAUUUUUUUAGAGUAACCAAGGAUAUCUCUCACCCUGUCGAUAAGGAACUAACCAUUUUGGAUGUGACUGUCCUCCCAACAAGUGUCACUCGGAAUUGAACCUUUUUGUAUCUAGUUAGUGUUAAUUAUUGUCCAGCUUGGGGCGGGGAAGUAAAUGUUUUAGCUUGCAUCUAAAACCUCUUGGCUUAGUGAUAAUAGUAAUAUGACAGUUAUAUUUGCCUUUUGUUUCAAGUGCCUUUUAUUGCUUCUGUUUCCUUUCAUGAAUAAUAUCUGAAGGAGGAAAGCUGUUUAAAAAUUAUAUAUUCCAAAUUUGCAAUUUAAACUUCUGAUUAAUUAUUUAGGCAAUAAAUUCUUUCAGAUCAUUAGUCAAUGCAAUUAUUAUGCCUGAUGUUUUUCACAUGAUACUACCUUUUUUUGUAGCAUUAUAUUGUUAUGAAUUAUUAUGCAGGGGUAGGGAUGUUUUGGUAUGCAAAUAUCUAUACACAUAUAAAUGCUAAUUUUUUUACACAAUUAAAGACAAGCUCAAAUUCAAUGACAUAACUCGAAUCUAAAAAAGUAAGUACUAAGUAGCUCAAAAUACCAAUGUAAGUCAAUUAAGUUCAAGGAAUUAAGCCUCUAUAAUGCUUAAAAGUAACUAUCAAGUACUAGCUACUAUACUUAGAUUACUACUUUACUAGUCAAUUCUAAGCAUUCAAGAUAAUAUAGUGAGUAAUGUUGAUGGCUCAUCCUCUCCGUUGUGGGAGUAAGGCUGAGUACAUCUAUCCUCCCCAUACCCCACAAGGUGGGAACCUUGCGCACCAAACCACCCCUUUUAAGGUUGGUGGCUCAAAUGGUGGUGGAUGAGAUGAUGCCAUGGCUGAUGGCUGACAAAGUUGCUAGGGUUGAAGAAGAGGAAGAAGUUACAGGUUGAAGUGGAAGAAGUUGCAGAACUAGCAAAAAAGAAGCGGAAGAUGAGCAAGUUGUUGGAAAGAGAAGGGUUUAAGGGUUGAGAGCUGCUCACCCAAGGUCCAGUUGUUCAAAUGGGUUGAGAGCUGCUCAUCCAGGUCCUUAUGCUUGAAUCAGGUUUAGGGGUUUGGCUAAAUGACCAAAAGCUCCAGAAAAGGGAUACAGUUUUAAAAAUGAGGGCAAAAUGGUUAACCCGUCGUCCAUUUCCCAGUGAGAUCCCAAUGAAAAACUGGGAUGGGAUAUUGGGAUUUGGAGCUGGGAUAGUCGAGAUUCAGAUAUGAGAUUGAAUAGCAAACCCCAUCUCACUGUCGUGCCAAGCUGGAAUGGGAUCCAAGUAUCACACAGGAUCCCAGGACCGCACAGGAUCCAACCAACAGAGAUUGACUACUUAACCACAAGAAUAAUCUUAAAAUAUGGACAGGUUUUUCUGGGAACAAUUUGACAUGUAUUUAUUUAUGUCGAAUUUGAUGGUAGAGUAACAAAUGACAGUAGUGUGUUUGUGUAAUGAAUUUCUAGGUAUUCACUAAUCAACAUAGAAGUAGUGCAUACUGGAUAGUAUGUAUUGGGUUUUUGACAUCAGCAGAUAAAGAUUUUCUCCUUUGAUAGUAGGAGUUGUAUACAUUAACAUAAAAUAUUAUGUUGUUCAUUGUCUCAGGUUAUGGCAUGGCAUAUGCCACUGUUCUUGUCUAUACACAUCAAUUUCCCCCCUUUUCUAAAUAAAAGAAGUCUUGUGAUGCUCUUGACUUCAUACCAUAACCGCCAAAACAUGCUUGCAUAUAUGUUUACACAAGAAUGAUGUCUUGCUCUUGCUCUGUCUUCUGAAUUUCCUUGAUAUGCCCAACAUAAAGAUCGCUCCCCUGGGAAUCAGAGUCUGACAGUCUCUGUCUCCGACCACCUUCAGACAUGCUUCUUACAAACUCCACUAGUUGCCGCCAAUUAUCACCAUCAAACAACUUCUUAUUCAGUCUUAGAAACGUGAAGGCAGCCAAUCCAUUGCCAGAGUCUGACUGACUUGUCAACAAAACUUGAGCAUAUGCAUCUGCAUCAUAUCUUUCCAAAGCAUUUUCCCCUGCAAGUUCUGCUCCAGCUAUCCUGGUUGCCAUCUUUACUUGGUGAACCAACCCUUCCGGUGAGCAAUCAGCAUGAUCAGGCUGCUCUCUGUCUUUCAUUUCCAUGCAGGUAAAAUUGAGGACAACUCCAUGUCUUGCCAGCAUUUUGGCUAUCUGUAGAUAACCAUCAUUAUGUAGUGUAUUAUAGUAGCCGGCGGUUAGUUCGGCUGCGUGUGACCUUGCUCUGUAAUGCCAAUGGAUUCCAGCAACUUUCCCAGAUAGCUUCACCCCAGAUGUGUGGAAUAUCCCUUUGCUCCAAAAUCCAACUCCCAAACUAACUCAUAGUGUCUAUAGACAUUCAACAUAUACACAAGGGUAAUGGACUUAGCUUACAUGCCCAAUCUGUCCAAAUAGACAAGUUAUACUAGUUAACUUGUGGGCUUCAUCCAAAUUAUCAAUAUUAAUUCAAAAUUAAAUAUUCAUUAUUUUUUUUACCGAUAAUACCAUUAUGUACUUUCCCUGCCUUAAGGUAAUUUUUUUAUUUGAGCAUCAAAUUUUCAACAACUUUCUCCUACGACAUCAUAAAAUAUUCUUUUCUCCCACUUAAAUUUUAUCUUCCACUCACAACAACCCCGCAUCAAUUUUUUUUGAAGUUUGACAUUACUUUUGAUCCCAAAAUUUAUUGUACUAGAAUCUUUUUCAAAUGGGCCUCUUAGCAUAAAAAAAUAAAUGGGCCUCCUAAUAUAUGAAAUGAAGUGGUAAACAAUGGCACUGAUUUUGAGACAUUGGAGUGAAUGGAGAAGAAACUCACUCUAGUUCAGACCAUUGCCACUGCUACCGUUUUCUCUGCCGUUUCUUUCUGGUAUUGUAUAUAUAACAACAACAACAACAAAUAUUAUUAGUCUUCUUUUUCUUUUUUCUAUUCAAUUAGGGUUUCUUAUUUUUCAAUUUUUAUGAUUUAGGUAUGGAUUCAUGUUUGGAAGGGAAUCCUCUCGUAAAGAACUUUCUCAAUUGAUCGAAGAUCUACGUCGUGAUAACCCCACCCCUACCUCCAAUUCCCAUUCUUCAAGUUGAAACAUACCAUGAUUUUCUUCAUUCUCAAUAUAUUUAUAUGAAUCUGUUAUCUAAUUCCCGAG
rnacentral:lncRNA from 1 species